AGGCUUUAUAGUGGAAAUUUUUAAGACAUUAGGCUGCAAAUCUAAAGAUGUAUAUAAUACUAAAGCUUA
rnacentral:tRNA from 1 species